rnacentral:rRNA from 1 species
UACGAAGGGGGCUAGCGUUGCUCGGAAUUACUGGGCGUAAAGCGCACGUAGGCGGUCUUUUAAGUCGGGAGGUGAAAUCCUGGAGCUCAACUCCAGAACUGCCUUCGAUACUGGAAGACUUGAGUCCGGGAGAGGUGAGUGGAACUGCGAGUGUAGAGGUGAAAUUCGUAGAUAUUCGCAAGAACACCAGUGGCGAAGGCGGCUCACUGGCCCGGUACUGACGCUGAGGUGCGAAAGCGUGGGGAGCAAACAGG